rnacentral:rRNA from 1 species
ACGAACGCUGGCGGCACGCUUAACACAUGCAAGUCGAACGAGAGAAGAGAAGCUUGCUUUUCUGAUCUAGUGGCGGACGGGUGAGUAACACGUGAGCAAUCUGCCUUUCAGAGGGGGAUACCGAUUGGAAACGAUCGUUAAUACCGCAUAACAUAAUUGAACCGCAUGAUUUGAUUAUCAAAGAUUUAUCGCUGAAAGAUGAGCUCGCGUCUGAUUAGCUAGUUGGUAAGGUAACGGCUUACCAAGGCGACGAUCAGUAGCCGGACUGAGAGGUUGAUCGGCCACAUUGGGACUGAGACACGGCCCAGACUCCUACGGGAGGCAGCAGUGGGGAAUAUUGCACAAUGGAGGAAACUCUGAUGCAGCGAUGCCGCGUGAGGGAAGAAGGUUUUAGGAUUGUAAACCUCUGUCUUCAGGGACGAAAAAAGACGGUACCUGAGGAGGAAGCUCCGGCUAACUACGUGCCAGCAGCCGCGGUAAUACGUAGGGAGCGAGCGUUGUCCGGAAUUACUGGGUGUAAAGGGAGCGUAGGCGGGAUCGCAAGUCAGAUGUGAAAACUAUGGGCUUAACCCAUAAACUGCAUUUGAAACUGUGGUUCUUGAGUGAAGUAGAGGUAAGCGGAAUUCCUAGUGUAGCGGUGAAAUGCGUAGAUAUUAGGAGGAACAUCAGUGGCGAAGGCGGCUUACUGGGCUUUAACUGACGCUGAGGCUCGAAAGCGUGGGGAGCAAACAGGAUUAGAUACCCUGGUAGUCCACGCCGUAAACGAUGAUUACUAGGUGUGGGGGGACUGACCCCUUCCGUGCCGCAGCAAACGCAAUAAGUAAUCCACCUGGGGAGUACGACCGCAAGGUUGAAACUCAAAGGAAUUGACGGGGGCCCGCACAAGCGGUGGAGCAUGUGGUUUAAUUCGAAGCAACGCGAAGAACCUUACCAAGUCUUGACAUCCCUCUGACCGACUCUUAACCGAGUCUUUCCUUCGGGACAGAGGAGACAGGUGGUGCAUGGUUGUCGUCAGCUCGUGUCGUGAGAUGUUGGGUUAAGUCCCGCAACGAGCGCAACCCUUACUGUUAGUUGCUACGCAAGAGCACUCUAGCAGGACUGCCGUUGACAAAACGGAGGAAGGUGGGGAUGACGUCAAAUCAUCAUGCCCCUUAUGACCUGGGCCUCACACGUACUACAAUGGCUGUCAACAGAGGGAAGCAAAGCCGCGAGGUGGAGCAAACCCCUAAAAGCAGUCUUAGUUCGGAUUGUAGGCUGCAACCCGCCUACAUGAAGUCGGAAUUGCUAGUAAUCGCAGAUCAGCAUGCUGCGGUGAAUACGUUCCCGGGCCUUGUACACACCGCCCGUCACGCCAUGGGAGUCGGUAACACCCGAAGCCUGUAGUCUAACCGCAAGGAGGACGCAGUCGAAGGUGGGAUUGAUGACUGGGGUG